UACAGAGGUCUCAAGCGUUGUUCGGAUUCAUUGGGCGUAAAGGGUGCGUAGGCGGCGCGGUAAGUCGGAUGUGAAAUCUCGGAGCUUAACUCCGAAACUGCAUUCGAUACUGCCGUGCUUGAGGACUGGAGAGGAGACUGGAAUUUACGGUGUAGCGGUGAAAUGCGUAGAGAUCAUGAGGAAGACCAGUGGCGAAGGCGGGUCUCUGGACAGUUCCUGACACUGAGGCACGAAGGCCAGGGGAGCAAACGGG
rnacentral:rRNA from 1 species